GGCUUAGUAGCAUAGUGGUUAUGCAUCUGCACAUUGUGUGAUAGAACCCUUUCAUCUGCAGAGUAUGUGGGUUCGAGUCCCGCCUGGGCCA